ensembl:lncRNA
AUUGAUUUCUUAUUAAUAUUUGAUUUAUUUAUUGAUAUAUCUCGGAUCUUGAGCGGUCCCGUGUCGGACCCGUUUCCGAUCCACGAACGCGGACGCGGGCAACACGUUUGAAAGCCUUUAAGAGCAGAGACGAAUCAGACGAUCAUAUCAGUUGAGAUUUUCUUGGCUGGAACACGGUUGCGUUACGUCAGAAAAUUUGCCUUUGAGCUGGCAGUGCACUUCAGCUGCCCAUUCCCUGCAUCCUGGUCGAGGAAGAGCAUGGCGGGGAAGGACUGGUUCACCUCCUUCAUGGAGCGCAGUGGCAGCCUCUCCCUUCGGCGUCCAGAGGCCACUAGCCAACAACGGUUGUCCAGCUUCAACCAAACAAAUGUAAACUUGUUCCACCAAAAUUUAAAGACGGUGCUGGACCGGCACCAGUUCCAGGCCAAGGACAUUUGGAACAUUGAUGAAACCGGUAUUUAAUGUGAACUUUAUUAACAAAAAACACAACUAUAUACACACAACUAUGUAUAUAUAUUAGGCCUGCAGCGGAUUCGAAUUGUAUCCGAAUCCGUUCGGUUCGUUUACCACAGUUCGGAGCAUUCUGGAGAUCCGCGGAUUUCGGUUUCAUGAAGGCAUUGCCUUAUGUAGCGUAUUUUGCCUACUGUAGCCUACGUCCGAUACAAAAGGGUGUUUAGGACCCAGCGGAAUGCAUUCUCUCCAGUGCUGCCCGAGCCAAUGAGACUUUUCCCGCCCCUCCCUUCAGCCUGUCAGCGUUCAAAACAAACUGGGCUUUAAACGAUUCCUAAAUUUAAAGAAAGUAAUUGAUACAAUUAUAUUCUAAAUAUACGGGAGAUAAAUACAAACGCGUGAUAAGCGGGAUAACGGCCUUCGAGGUCGACCGGUUCGAUGGAAAUAAUGGACAGGUAGAGGCAACUCUGGCUUCAUGCUGCGCUCGUCGCCAGAGUUCUAAGCCUCGUCGGCCGUUAUCCCUUACAUGUUACACUCAGUGCACCAUGUUUUCAAAUGCAUUUAGGGGAACAUUUAUUGUACAAAAAAGCCUUGCAAGUUGUCUGAUUGCAGACAAUUAACACAUUGCAAAUAGCCUGUGGGUCUCAUUCAUUUUUGUGUUUCUCCCCCAAACCCUCCGUCAAAAAAAAGUCCGCCUUUUUACUAUCACGGACACGAUCCUAAUCCAAACCGUAUCCGAAACCGAGGCCCAAAACGGUUAUCUGAACCGAACCGUGGACACACUGAUCCGUUUCACCACUAAUAUAUAUACACAACUAUACUCACACAACUAUUUACAGGGGUCACCACUGUCCAGGUGCCAGACCGUGUCGUCACCCAGAUGGGGCAGAAGCAGGUCGGGUCAGUGACCUCAGCAGAGAGGGGGACCCUGGUCACAGUUGCCCUGGCAGGCAAUGCGCAGGGCGACCUUGUUCCGCCAUUCUUCAUCUUCCCCCGUAAGCGGUUCAAAGACCACUUCCUGGACCCGUUGGCUGUGCUGGCAGCGGCAACCCAACUGGCUGGAUGAAGGAGCCAGACUUCCUCCUGUACCUGGCCCACUUGACCAGGCACACCCGUGUGUCCAAGGAGUCGAAGCUGCUCCUCCUGCUGGACAAUCACCCGUCCCACCUGUCAAUUGCAGCAAUUGAUUACUGCAGAGCCAAUGGCAUAGUGCUGCUGUCAUUCCCUCCCCACUGCACCCACAGGUUGCAGCCAAUGGACAUUAGUGUCUUCGGCCCCCUAAAGGGGUACGUAAACAGUGCGGCGGACAGGUGGAUGAGGAGACACCCAGGGAUAAACAUCUCAAUUUAUGAUGUGCCCUCCAUCGUUGCUGAAGCCUUACCAAAGGCUGCGACAGUGAACAACAUUACCUCCGGGUUCUCAAGUCCAGGGAUCUGGCCUUUUAACCCCUCUGCGUUUGAGGAAAAGGACUUCGCCGGAGCCUAUUCCACAGACCGUCCUCCUCCCCAGGCUUCGGGUGACGAGGUCAGCGCUUCUCCAGGUGCCACUUCAGGCAUGGAUGUACCUGAUCGAGCUGCCGGGCCUGACGAAGCUGUCCGGCCUGAGGGAGAGGCUGUUAAGUUCAGCCUGGACAUCGUCCGGCCUUACCCUAAGGCCGGACCUAGAAAGAUCACAAAGAGAAGAGGGAGAAAGAGGACAACUGCUAUACUUACGGACACCCCGGUGAGGGCUGCUUUAGACAGGGUUCGUACGGUCAUGAAAAACCUGGAAAAGUCAUGGAAUUUUAAAAUGGUUAUUUCCAGGCCUAGAAAAGUGCUUGAAAAAAAAUAAAGUCCCAAAAGUUUUGGAAAAGUCAUGGAAUUUUUUUUUAUUCAUAUUUUCUUGUCGUUCAUUUACGCUGAGUUUUAAAUCAUGAAUAUGCCUUUAAAUGAAAUACGCUCAAAGUAUAAACAGGCACGCGCUGAAACUAAAACAUACGCAACUGAAACGUUUGUUGGCCAUAGCAACAGUAUCUGAGGGAAGCCAAAAUUAUUCAAAAUGCCAGGGAAGUGUAGGUUCAACAAUGCUUGGUUGCGAAAUGAGAAAUAUAUGUCAUGGGUUUCAUCCGACAAAGACCCGGGCCGAGCUAAAUGUAGGUUAUGUGGUGACAAAACGUUUGACAUAUCUAACAUGGGAGAGGCGGCAUUAACGAGCCAUGCGAAAGGCGCUAAACACCACAGCCAGGGCAACUGCUACGGCAAACAGCACGUCUCUCUCUUUGGUCUACUGCGGAGGUAAUGUGGGCACUGAAGGUGGCUAAUUCGCAUUAUUCGUUUAAGUCAUCUGAAGAUGCUAGCCUGCUCUUUCAAAGAAUGUUCCCCGAUAGCCAGAUAGCAACACAGUUUGCUUGUGGCGAAAGCAAAUGCUCGUUCCUCUGCUCUUUCGGUCUCGCUCCCCACUUCAGGAGUCUGACGUUGUCCAACGUAAUGAAGCAAAGGGCAUACGUCAUUCUCUUCGACGAAAGCCUGAAUAGUUAUUUACAGUCCAAACAGAUGGAUUUACAUGUGAGGCUAUGGGAUGGCGCCGAUGUUAAGACAAAAUACAUUGUGUUUUAUAAAGCUGUUUAAAUGUGAAAUUGUUUUGGUUGAUUAAUGGUCAAAGAGUUAGUUGCCAACUGUUCUGUUACAUUUUGCACUAGAAAAGGGAAAUCAAUGUUUGCACUAGCUGGAUGCUUCUGCAUACUAAAGCUCUUAUUGAUGUCAGUGCUGUGAAUGCAACCAGUAUAUUUAUAAAUGUUCAUUCUUUAAAUCAAACUAUUGUCUCUCAAUUUUGUGUCAUUUAAUGUAUACAGUAUGCCUCCGAAUUCCCAUUGUUAGUUUUAAUACUACAUUUUAUCACUUUUGCACGUUAACACCGAGAUUUCACAAAAUGUUUGGUCAUGGAAAUUUGGUUUACAGUCAUGGAAAAGUCAUGGAAAAGUCAUGGAAAUCCAUUGGUCCAAAAGUGUAUGAACCCUGUUUAGAGGCGGAAAAGCAGGGAACUGGGAAGCAGCGUCGUCCCGCCAAGCAGCCUCCCUCCUCUCGGGCUCCCAAGAAGAGGCUGUUCUCGCCCGCUCCUGAUGCCGGAGUUGCUGGAGUUGCCACCUCAGCUGCUCCUCCCACCAUAACCUGGCCCGCUGAUGGAGUCAGCCCCACCUUAGGCCUAGUUUGUCCUGUUCCGGAGGCAGCAGAGUUCACCACCAUUGCUGCCUCCACUUCUCCAAUUUAUUUAGGCCUAUCCAGCGAGGACGUCAGCUGCCUCGUGUGCUCCGAGCUCUUCAGCGCCUCGAUGCCUGGGGAAGAGUGGGUCCAGUGUGUCUUUUGUUAUAAGUGGUCGCAUGAGGCUUGCACCGACGGGAGUGCACACUACCUGUGUCACCUGUGUGACAAAGAAUACAAAUAUUCAGCCUACUAUACUGUCCAUGUGUCUGCACUAGUUUGCAGUGGAAAUACUGUAAAUGUAGGCCUACAGCACAAUUCACUUAACAUUCUAGACUGAUUAACUAACUAACUAUUAGGCCUGGGUUAGGCUAUGAGUGGGAGCUGGGCUAUUAAAUAUUUCGCUGGGUAGGCCUACUUUUCGUCCAUGAUUGUAACGCAUCCAAAAUAACAACGGCUACAUUAAAU